GAUGAACGCUAGCGGCAGGCCUAAUACAUGCAAGUCGAACGGUGUCUUCGGACAUAGUGGCGCACGGGUGCGUAACACGUAUGCAACCUACCUUACAUUGGGGGAUAGCCCUUCGAAGGGGAGAUUAAUACCGCAUAAGACAGUAGCUGGGCAUCCAGCAGCUGUUAAAGAUUUAUCGAUGUAAGCUGGGCAUGCGUCCAAUUAGCUAGUUGGUGAGGUAACGGCUCACCAAGGCAAUGAUUGGUAGGGGAACUGAGAGGUCAAUCCACCACACUGGCACUGAGAUACGGGCCAGACUCCUACGGGAGGCAGCAGUAGGGAAUAUUGGGCAAUGGACGCAAGUCUGACCCAGCCAUGCCGCGUGCAGGAUGAAGGCGUUAUGCGUUGUAAACUGCUUUUAUACAGGAAGAAACGACUCUUGCGAGAGGCAUUGACGGUACUGUAUGAAUAAGCACCGGCUAACUCCGUGCCAGCCGCCGCCGUAAUAC
rnacentral:rRNA from 1 species